rnacentral:misc_RNA from 1 species
UUACCCUUAUUUUAAUAUGAAAGGAUCCUUUAACCUCUUCCAUUUUUCUUAACCUCUAAAUUUGGAAGUUAAAGGAUGUAAAUAGAGCUUUUAAACAUUUUUAAACCCAUUAACCUAAAAUUAACCUUCAUUUACAUUCUGUUCCUUUCUUUUACCUUCAUUAGAUUCCUUCUUCAUCAUCCUUAAAAGUCCCAUGCAAUGCCUAGAUUUAAUGACAUUAAACCACUGAAGAUUCACACCUAGAACCAACCUUGAGGAAGAUUCAGCUAGGUUUUUUAAGUGUAAAGCGUGAACAUAGGUUGCUAUUAGUUAAAGUUAAACUACCAACAUGAACAAGAAGGUAGGCAGUGCAGCAGUGGCACAUCAUAUUCAUCAACACUCUGAUCUGAUAAUUUCUAUUUUGUACAAUGAUCUGAUGCCGUUCAUUUUAUUUUGUACCCUUAUAUCAUGUGGAUCAAUGAAACAAGGUACUAUCAUAUUCAUAAAAAAUCAAUUAAAUUCCCUUACCCCUGAUUUUCACUGGUUUUGAGCAUUAAAUACUG